ACGAACGCUGGCGGCGUGCUUAACACAUGCAAGUCGAACGGAAAGGCCCUGCUUUUGUGGGGUGCUCGAGUGGCGAACGGGUGAGUAACACGUGAGUAACCUGCCCUUGACUUUGGGAUAACUUCAGGAAACCGGGGCUAAUACCGGAUAGGAGCUCCUGCUGCAUGGUGGGGGUUGGAAAGUUUCGGCGGUUGGGGAUGGACUCGCGGCUUAUCAGCUUGUUGGUGGGGUAGUGGCUUACCAAGGCUUUGACGGGUAGCCGGCCUGAGAGGGUGACCGGCCACAUUGGGACUGAGAUACGGCCCAGACUCCUACGGGAGGCAGCAGUGGGGAAUAUUGCACAAUGGGCGGAAGCCUGAUGCAGCAACGCCGCGUGCGGGAUGACGGCCUUCGGGUUGUAAACCGCUUUCGCCUGUGACGAAGCGUGAGUGACGGUAAUGGGUAAAGAAGCACCGGCUAACUACGUG
rnacentral:rRNA from 1 species